AAAGACCGAGCACCGAGACGAGUCCUUUUGGACGAAGUCACUGAUACCACGCUUCCAGGAAAAGCUCCUAAGCUUCAGCUUACGCAGACCGUACCGUAAACCGACACAGGUGGGUAGGAUGAGAAUUCUCAGGCGCUUGAAAGAACUCGGGUGAAGGAACUAGGCAACAUGGCACCGUAACUUCGGGAGAAGGUGCGCCCUUUUUGGUGGCUACGUGCGUAGCUGAGCUGAAGAGGGCCGCAGUAACCAGGCCGCUGCGACUGUUUAUCAAAAACACAGCACUCUGCAAACACGAAAGUGGACGUAUAGGGUGUGACGCCUGCCCGGUGCUGGAAGGUUAAUUGAUGGGGUCAGCCGCAAGGCGAAGCUCUUGAUCGAAGCCCCAGUAAACGGCGGCCGUAACAAUAACGGUCCUAAGGUAGCGAAAUUCCUUGUCGGGUAAGUUCCGACCUGCACGAAUGGCGUAACGACAGCGGCGCUGUCUCCACCCGAGACUCAGUGAAAUUGAAAUCGCUGUGAAGAUGCAGCGUUCCCGUGGCAAGACGGAAAGACCCCGUGAACCUUUACUAUAGCUUUACAUUGAACGUUGAGUUCGUCUGUGUAGGAUAGGUGGGAGGCUUUGAAGCGAUGGCGCUAGCUGUCGUGGAGCCAACCUUGAAACACCACCCUGUCGUGCUUGACGUUCUAACCUAGCUCCGUUAUCCGGAGCGGGGACCAUGUAUGGUGGGUAGUUUGACUGGGGCGGUCUCCUCCCAAAGAGUAACGGAGGAGCACGAAGGUACGCUCAGCGCGGUCGGACAUCGCGCACUGUGUGCAAAGGCAUAAGCGUGCUUGACUGCGAGAUCGACGGAUCAAGCGGGUACGAAAGUAGGUCUUAGUGAUCCGGUGGUUCUGUAUGGAAGGGCCAUCGCUCAACGGAUAAAAGGUACUCCGGGGAUAACAGGCUGAUACCGCCCAAGAGUUCAUAUCGACGGCGGUGUUUGGCACCUCGAUGUCGGCUCAUCACAUCCUGGGGCUGUAGUCGGUCCCAAGGGUAUGGCUGUUCGCCAUUUAAAGUGGUACGCGAGCUGGGUUCAGAACGUCGUGAGACAGUUCGGUCCCUAUCUGCCAUGGGCGUUGGAGAUUUGAGAGGGGCUGCUCCUAGUACGAGAGGACCGGAGUGGACGAACCUCUGGUGUUCCGGUUGUCACGCCAGUGGCAUUGCCGGGUAGCUACGUUCGGAAGCGAUAACCGCUGAAAGCAUCUAAGCGGGAAGCGCGCCUCAAGAUGAGAUCUCCCGGGGCACAAGCCCCCUAAAGGAACGAUGAAGACUACGUCGUUGAUAGGUCAGGUGUGUAAGUGCAGCAAUGCAUUGAGCUAACUGAUACUAAUGAUCCGUGCGGCUUGACU
rnacentral:rRNA from 1 species